rnacentral:lncRNA from 1 species
AUAGAGCAGCAAACCUAGAGUUAAAAUUUGAUGUGAAUAAGUAGAUAAUCCAUAUGCUUAUGCUGGAAUUCCCAAGUAACUUUUAAAAUGUAAAAUAGGUGCCCUUUAGUUUAAUGUGCAAAGGUUAGGGAGUUCCACUCACUCAUUUAUUCAUUCAGCAUAUUUAUUAUGUCUCUAUGCUAUGCCAGGAACUCCUAGGAACUGAAGGAACAAAAGUAAAUUCUUGGCUUAAAGUUGCUCACAAUUUAGCAGGAAGAGACAUGUUUAAAAAAAAAAUUUCUAGACCCAAGGUGAUGAGUAAACAAAGCUACUCUUGUGCUGGGAGUAAAAAGAAGAGCACUGAUGGGCAGGUGGGCGAGGGAUGCAGAAGCCUUUCCAAAAGAAGUAAGUUUUGAACUAUAUUGAAACAUGACAAGAAUUCACCAGUCUAACAAAAUGGGAAACGUAUUCAAGGCACAGGAAGCAACAAGUGCAAGACCCAGGAGGAGGCACCCAGACCCUUGGGUACAUAUUCUCAGCUUCUAAGGACCUCCUUCCUAAAGAAGAAAGAGUUGAUUGAAGAUUUGAUAAGCAUGCAUGUGCGUAGGAGUGGGUCUAGUGUCAUUGGAAAAGUGAACCUGGAAAUAAAGAGAAAAUAAAUUGAACUCGG